rnacentral:rRNA from 1 species
GGAGGGGGGUGCGGUCUAUCAGAUAGUUGGUGAGGUAACGGCUCACCAAGUCUAUGACGGAUAGCCGGUCUGAGAUGAUGUCCGGCCGCAAUGGGACUGAGACACGGCCCAUACUCCUACGGGAGGCAGCAGUGGGGAAUCUUGCGCAAUGGGCGAAAGCCUGACGCAGCGAUCCCGCGUGGAGGAUGACACCUUACGGGGCGUAAACUCCUUUUUUGGUGGAAGACGAAAGACGGUACACCAAGAAUAAAGGACGGCUAACUACGUGCCAGCAGCCGCGGUAAUACGUAGGUCCUAAGCGUUAUCCGGAUUUACUGGGCGUAAAGCGUCUGUAGCUGGAAAAAUAAGUCUGUUUUCAAAUACUGUGGCUCAACCAUAGAAAGGGAAUGGAUACUGUCUUUCUAAGAGGUUAUUAGAGGUUAGUGGAAUUUCCGGUGGAGCGGUGAAAUGUGUUGAUAUCGGAAGGAACGCCAAAAGCGAAAGCAGCUAACUAUAAUAAACCUGACGGUCAGAGACGAAAGCUUGGGUAGCAAACGGGAUUAGAUACCCCGUGUAGUCCAAGGCCGUAAUUAUGCCUGCUAGAUGUNUUCUCCAUUUUGGAGGGAGUGUCGUAAUCUAAACGAGUUAAGCAAGCCGCCUGGGUAGUAU